UUUUUUUUUUUUUUUUUUUUUUUUUUUUUUGUUAUUACAGGUUCAGUUGAUUAGGAUUGAUAUUAGAUUGCCUGAAUAUGGCUGGACAACUCAAAAGGUUUUCCACCUUAUGAAUUUCAUUGUAAAUGGAGUGCGUGCGGUUGUUUUUGGAUUUCAUAUGCAAGUGUUCCAUUUGCAUCCCAAGGUUUUCAUUUGGGCGCUUCUAGAAGUUCCGGGGUUACUUUUCUUUUCAACGUAUACUCAGGCAAG